rnacentral:rRNA from 1 species
UGGGGAAUUUUGGACAAUGGGCGAAAGCCUGAUCCAGCAAUGCCGCGUGUGUGAAGAAGGCCUUCGGGUUGUAAAGCACUUUUGUCCGGAAAGAAAUCCUCUGGGUUAAUACCUCGGGGGGAUGACGGUACCGGAAGAAUAAGCACCGGCUAACUACGUGCCAGCAGCCGCGGUAAUACGUAGGGUGCAAGCGUUAAUCGGAAUUACUGGGCGUAAAGCGUGCGCAGGCGGUUUUGUAAGACGGAUGUGAAAUCCCCGGGCUUAACCUGGGAACUGCAUUCGUGACUGCAAGGCUAGAGUAUGGCAGAGGGGGGUUAGAAUUCCACGUGUAGCAGUGAAAUGCGUAGAGAUGUGGAGGAAUACCGAUGGCGAAGGCAGCCCCCUGGGCCAAUACUGACGCUCAUGCACGAAAGCGUGGGGAGCAAACAGGAUUAGGAUACCCUGGUAGUCCACGCCCUAAACGAUGUCAACUAGUUGUUGGGGAUUCAUUUCCUUAGUAACGUAGCUAACGCGUGAAGUUGACCGCCUGGGGGAGUACGGUCGCAAGAUUAAAACUCAAAGGAAUUGACGGGGUCAUAGCUGUUUCCU